AUUGAGAAUUCAAUUGGUAGAGGAGCAUUCUUAAAGGGAUGAAGCAGUACCGUAAGGAGCUGUGGACUUUUAAGAAGAGAGAAUGCCGGAAUGAGUAGCGAGAGGAAGGUGGGAAUCCUUCCGGCCGAAUAUCUAAGGUUUCCAGAGUAAAGCUGAUCUGCUCUGGGUAAGUCGGGGCCUAAGGCGAGGUCGAAAGACGUAGUCGAUGGAUAACAGGUUGAAAUUCCUGUACUAUCCUGUAACAGAACUGUGGGGACACAGGCAGAGAGCGUGAGCCGGGAAUGGAAAGACCGGUACAAGCGAGGUAGGAGAAGAGUUGGCAAAUCCGCUCUUUAAUCUGAAGACGUGAUGUGGACUGAAAAUAAGUAGGGAAGCACGUGAGCUGACUGUCAAGAAAAGCCGCUAUUGUUUGCAGGAUACCCGUACCGUAAACCGACACAGGUGGAUGAGGAGAGAAUCCUAAGGCCGACGGGAGAAGCAUUGUUAAGGAACUCGGCAAAAUGACUCCGUAACUUCGGGAGAAGGAGUGCCAGUAAGAUGGCCGCAGAGAAUUGGCCCAAGCAACUGUUUAGCAAAAACACAGGUCUAUGCAAAACCGAAAGGUGAGGUAUAUGGGCUGACGCCUGCCCGGUGCUGGAAGGUUAAGGGGAGAGGUUAGCGCAAGCGAAGCUUUGAACUUAAGCCCCAGUAAACGGCGGCCGUAACUAUAACGGUCCUAAGGUAGCGAAAUUCCUUGUCGGGUAAGUUCCGACCCGCACGAAAGGCGUAAUGAUUUGGGCACUGUCUCAACAAUGCACCCGGUGAAAUUGAAAUACCAGUGAAGAUGCUGGUUACCUGCGCCAGGACGGAAAGACCCCAUGGAGCUUUACUCCAGCUUGAUACUGGGAUUCGGUAUUGCAUGUACAGGAUAGGUGGGAGGCUAGGAAAUGGUAACGCCAGUUGCCAUGGAGCCAAUGUUGGGAUACCACCCUUGCAGUACUGGGUUUCUAACCAGCAGCCGUGAUCCGGCUGGGGGACAAUGUCAGGUGGGGAGUUUGACUGGGGCGGUCGCCUCCGAAAGGGUAUCGGAGGCGCUCAAAGGUUCCCUCAGAAUGGUUGGAAACCAUUCGAAGAGUGCAAAGGCAGAAGGGAGCUUGACUGCGACACCGACGGGUGGAGCAGGUACGAAAGUAGGACUUAGUGAUCCGGUGGUAUAAAGUGGGAUUGCCAUCGCUCAACGGAUAAAAGCUACCCUGGGAUAACAGGCUUAUCACUCCCAAGAGUUCACAUCGACGGAGUGGUUUGGCACCUCGAUGUCGGCUCAUCGCAUCCUGGGGCUGAAGUAGGUCCCAAGGGUUGGGCUGUUCGCCCAUUAAAGCGGUACGCGAGCUGGGUUCAGAACGUCGUGAGACAGUUCGGUCCCUAUCCGGCGUGGGCGUAAGAUAUUUGAGAGGAGCUGUCCUUAGUACGAGAGGACCGGGAUGGACUGGCCGCUGGUGUAUCUGUUGUCUUACCAAAGGCAUAGCAGAGUAGCCAAGCCGGGAAGGGAUAAACGCUGAAGGCAUCUAAGCGUGAAGCCCCCCUCAAGAUGAGAUAUCUCAUAACGUCAAGUUAGUAAGACCCCUUGAAGACGACGAGGUAGAUAGGGCAGAGGUGGAAGUGUGGUAACACAUGGAGCUGACUGUUACUAAUAGGUCGAGGGCAUAACCA
rnacentral:rRNA from 1 species